AAGCACCAUUUCCCAAAAGUUCCUGAAGCUGGCAUACUUUAAAGAUAACUUUAAAGAUUUUUUACAGACAUACAAUUUAUACCUUAAGUCUUUGACUAAGCCUGUCAAUUAAGAUUCUUCAUUUAAAGCAUUUCAGUUUUAAAUGGUUUAAGCUUAAUCUGUGUCCAGAAAACCUUUUCAGCAGAUGACAACAUUGUUUUUCAUAUAAUUCCUUGAGUAUGCCUCAAUAUCUGGGAAUCCAUGUUACAAAACACAACAUUUACUAACCUAUUAAACCUGCUAAGCUGAUGACCUAACAUAGCCCCCAAUAAUAACCGCCUCUGUUUGCUCUUUCCUCAAGGACAUGUGGGUUGAUUACUCUUUGCCCUGUCUGCGCUCUCAGAUUAGAGCCAAGCAGCAAAGAGAAAACUGCCUACAAGUUAACAUAAGCACAUAACUAGGGCUUGAUCAAUGUGAGGUUUUGUCAGUUCUUUGUCUGUUGCAUCAGUGCAUUUUUGGUGUUUUACUGGCGACCAUUCAACCAAUAAAUCCGUGGAACCUUUAUAUCGGCCGUUUUUACUGGCCAAACAAUACAUUGGUCGGGGCCUAGGGGACUUACAGACACGUACACCUGACCCACUUACUGUUUAUCUGAAACAUAAUGCUGACUGUGGCAAGCUCUAUCUGGAAGGUAAAUGGGGCAGUCAGUGAACCUGGGAGCGGUCAGCUUAAAGGCUACAAGCACUAGGCGGACAUUCGGUAUUAAACUGUUGGAUAUAAUUCAAGACAAUUACUAUGGACUACAGAAAUCUUUCAGUUUGAGGGUUUCUUAGCUGGUUUACUGGACAUGGAUUAAGUCUAGUCAAGCCAAAGACUGCUGAGGCGCUCAAGCUCCGGAAUGAGGAAGCCUGG